GGGCUCGUAGUUCAGGGGUUAGAACGCCACGUUUACAACGUGGAGGUCGAGAGUUCGAUUCUCUCCGAGCCCA
rnacentral:tRNA from 2 species